rnacentral:rRNA from 1 species
CCAACGGGGGGCAGCAGUGGGGAAUAUUGGGCAAUGGGCGAAAGCCUGACCCAGCAACGCCGCGUGAGGGAAGAAGGUCUUCGGAUUGUAAACCUCUGUCCUUGGGGACGAAAAAAAUGACGGUACCCAAGGAGGAAGCCCCGGCUAACUACGUGCCAGCAGCCGCGGUAAUACGUAGGGGGCGAGCGUGGUCCGGAAUUACUGGGCGUAAAGGGUGCGUAGGCGGUUUUGUAAGUCAGUGGUGAAAUCCCCGGGCUUAACUCGGGGGGUGCAUGUGAAACUGGGAGGCUAGAGUGCAGGAGAGGGAAGCGGAAUUCCUAGUGUAGCGGUGAAAUGCGUAGAUAUUAGGAGGAACACCAGUGGCGAAGGCGGCUUUCUGGACUGUAACUGACGCUGAGGCACGAAAGCGUGGGGAGCAAACA